GCAGGACUAAACAUCAGUUAGAGUAUCACAUUAUAUAACACACGUGAUUUCUCAAAUAGGCUGAUGUUUCUGACCCAAACAAGAAAAAUUUUGAUCUGGAAAAUGAGAAUAAUUUGUUUUUUAAGGAUCCAGACUCUCAGUGACAGAAGUGAUACCACAUGGUCUGAAAUAUAGAAACUACCUUUUGGUGGGUUUUCAUUCAUUUAAUAAUUCCUUAAAUUUAUGAAAUACAUUAAACAUAAAGAGAUGCACAGAGACCAAUUAUAAAUAACACACAUGUACCCAAGCCAAGAUUAAAUAAAUCAUCAGAGUGGAAGAUAAACCAGUUUCAGAGUUUAUGUAAUAACUGACAGAAAAACACACAGUUUUCCAUUUUUCCUAGAUCUCAUACUGUGACUUACAGAUUCAUGAUCUUCUUACAAGUUCUUACAAAAAAGCUCAAGUUCCUAGAUAACACUGUAGUAUCUGAUGAUGUGAAGGAGAAGUAAGGAUAAUAGAGUCUAGUACUAGACAAAAAUAUCAUACAGAUAAAAAUGAUCAUAUUGGAUCAAGCAACUAAAGAUAAACUAAAUAAUGAAAUUUAAAAGGUACAGCUCAAAAUAAGUUCAAUUUUGAUUAAAUGUUCAUUUGAAACACACUCUUAAAAAGGCAGCAUCUGUACCUGGCAUUU
rnacentral:lncRNA from 1 species